GUUGAGAGUGGCGAACGGGUGCGUAACGCGUAUGCAACCUACCCUAUACAGGGGGAUAGCCCGGAGAAAUCUGGAUUAAUACCCCAUGGUAUCAUUGAGCUGCAUGGUUUAAUGAUUAAAGAUUCAUCGGUAUAGGAUGGGCAUGCGUCUGAUUAGCUAGUUGGCGGUGUAACGGACCACCAAGGCGACGAUCAGUAGGGGUUCUGAGAGGAAGGUCCCCCACACUGGCACUGAGAUACGGGCCAGACUCCUACGGGAGGCAGCAGUAGGGAAUAUUGGGCAAUGGACGAGAGUCUGACCCAGCCAUGCCGCGUGCAGGAAGACGGCGUUCUGCGUUGUAAACUGCUUUUAUCUGGGAAGAAAAUGCCCUUGCGAGGGAAAUUGCCGGUACCAGAUGAAUAAGCACCGGCUAACUCCGUGCCAGCAGCCGCGGUAAUACGGAGGGUGCAAGCGUUGUCCGGAUUUAUUGGGUUUAAAGGGUGCGUAGGCGGCUAUUUAAGUCAGUGGUGAAAGACUCCGGCUCAACCGGAGCAGUGCCAUUGAUACUGGAUAGCUUGAGUAUUGGAGGGGUACAUGGAAUUGAUGGUGUAGCGGUGAAAUGCAUAGAUACCAUCAGGAACACCGAUAGCGAAGGCAUUGUACUGGCCAA
rnacentral:rRNA from 1 species